UACAGUCAUAUCAUGUUGAAACUCCAGUUCCCAUAAAAUCCCUGAAGUUAAGCAACGUUGAGCCUGGUUAGUACCUAGAUAGGUGACUGCUUGAGAAUACCAGGUGAUGUAA
rnacentral:rRNA from 1 species